GCCCACUGUCUGGCACUCCCUAGUGAGAUGAACCCGGUACCUCAGAUGGAAAUGCAGAAAUCACCCGUCUUCUGCGUCACUCACGCUGGGAGCUGUAGACCGGAGCUGUUCCUAUUCGGCCAUCUUGGCUCCUCCCCCCUUAAAUUUUUAUUUAUGUAUUUAUUUACUUUUUCAUAGAACCACCAAGUCCAAUACAAUACACUUUGGCAGGAGUUUUCAUUGAGAUUACAUUGAAUUUAUAGAUUAAAGUAGAGACACUUUUGACUUGAUCUCUGCAGUCCUCAACAUGGUAUGUAACACAAGAUAGGUCCUUAAUACUUGCAUUUGCUUGAUUUGAAACUAAAUGGGUGACCGUCACGAUGACAUCUCUCAGCUUGCUCUCAUGUGGCACCACUGGGUCAUCCUUCCCAUCCCGUGACAGUUCUUAGACUCAAGUUCAGGUUUAGUUAGUCUAUCCUAGCCCCCUGUGUUGUUUACCAUUCCACAGACAAUGCAUUUCUUGGCUACUGGGAAAAAACAUCCUGCAGUGUGAACCAAUCUCCCCCCUCUCCCUGCCUAGCCCUGGGUCUCAGUUUGCAGAGGCUCUGCCUUGGGCUCAUUCUCACAGAGCAGCAGCAGCCGCAGAUAAAAGUGGGGCAAGGUUCACCUGAGCACAAAGCAGAGCCCGGACUGGCUAAUAAAUUAUGUAGAGAUUCUAU
rnacentral:sRNA from 1 species